AGCGUCCCAGUUCGGAUUGUAGUCUGCAACUCGACUACAUGAAGCCGGAAUCGCUAGUAAUCGCGGAUCAGAAUGCCGCGGUGAAUACGUUCCCGGGUCUUGUACACACCGCCCGUCACACCAUGGGAGCCGGAAAUGCCCGAAGUCAGUGGCCCAACCAAUAAGGAGGGAGCUGCCGAAGGCAGGUCUGGUGACUGGGGUGAAGUCGUAACAAGGUAAC
rnacentral:rRNA from 1 species